rnacentral:rRNA from 1 species
GAUGAACGCUAGCGAUAGGCUUAACACAUGCAAGUCGAGGGGCAGCACAAGGUAGCUUGCUAUCUGGGUGGCGACCGGCGCACGGGUGCGUAACGCGUAUGCAACUUGCCCUAUACAGGAGGAUAACCCGUCGAAAGACGGACUAAUACUGCGUAUGCUCACAACUUGGCAUCAAGUGGUGAGGAAAGAAAUUCGGUAUAGGAUAGGCAUGCGUCCCAUUAGCUUGUUGGUGAGGUAACGGCUCACCAAGGCAACGAUGGGUAGGGGAACUGAGGGGUUUAGCCCCCAGAGUGGUACUGGGAAACGGACCAGACUCCUACGGGAGGCAGCAGUGAGGAAGAUUGGUGAAUGGGCGCGAGCCUGAACCAGCCAAGUCGCGUGAAGGAAGACUGUCUUAUGGAUUGUAAACUUCUUUUAUACGGGAAUAACAAGAGUCACGGGUGACUCCCUGCAUGUACCGGAUGAAUAAGCAUCGGCUAACUCCGUG